rnacentral:rRNA from 1 species
AUACGUAGGGGGCAAGCGUUGUCCGGAAUUAUUGAGCGUAAAGCGCAUGUAGGCGGUUUGGUAAGGCGGCCGUGAAAAUGCGGUGCUUACCGGCGUAGGGCGAUCGAAACUGCUGAACGUGAGGGCAGGAGUGGAAACGGGAACUCCCAGUGUAGCGGUGAAAUGCGUAGAUAUUGGGAAGAACACCGGUGGCGAAGGCGCCUUUCUGGACUGUGUCUGACGCUCAGAUGCGAAAGCCAGGGUAGCGAACGGGAUUAGAUACCCCGGUAGUCCUGGCCGUAAACGAUGGGUACUAGGUGUGGGAGGUAUCGACUCCUUCCGUGCCGGAGUUAACGCAAUAAGUACCCCGCCUGGGGAGUACGGCCGCAAGGCUUAAACUCAAAUGAAUUGACGGGG